AGUACUGCUCUGUUAGCAGCAGGAGCAAAUGAAAGAAUUCAGUGUCAGCAUUUUCUGUUUCUCAUCUGACAAACAAGGUCAGGUACUUCUUUGAACAACCCAGUUCCAAUAGCUGUGAAACAUAAAGAGACAAGCAGGGGAAGAUUUUCCAGAAAGGCUGGUGGCUAGGCACAAGCAAAUUACACCAUUAAUGUCAUCCUGGCGAAUGAAACAAGAGAAUAGUAUUUAUCAGAGAAAGUCUGGUGAGUUGAAGUCCAAGACCCCAGGAAACAACUAGCCCUGCUGGGCUGCCCCUCCUUCGGAGUGGGACUAUAUGAUCCUCAUCAGGCCAAUCCACGUCACAGAAUGGUCUAGGCAUUGGAUGAGUGCCUCAAUCUGAGCCAAUGAAGGUCAUUGCUGAGACAUUUUACUGGUUGCCAGGCUGCAGGCAUCCCAGGCUUCCUGCUGCCCUCAUGUCUACAACCUGUCGUCUGGAACAUUCCAGGAGCCACUUUUAUCACUUGCAGCAAUCUUCUUCAAAUACCACAGACUGGGCAAUUUAUAAAUGAUGGAAGUUUAUUUGGCUCAUGGUUCUGGAGACUGGGAAGUCCAAGAACAUGGCACUGUCAUCUGCUGUUCAUAAAACCUAGGGGAGAUUUUCUGACCUCACCCUGAAGCAGUUCCUAAGAUCCUCACUUUAGAGAUGCCCUCACUAUAUCCAGAAGAAAGAAGCAUCCUUAUCUCCGAACACAAAACGUCACAGAGAAGAAUCUGAACAAACAGGCCUUGCUAAGUUUCCCUUGGUUUUUUACCAUCAGAUCACACUGUUUUGCCCAAUCAUAUUUCUCCACAACUGUCCACUCUUCACUAAACCUAAGAUGUAUAUAUAUAUAUUUCACUGUUUCUUUGGGUUUUCAUUUCCUUAUGAAGACUCAUGUCAUGUAAAACCUACAUUAACUAAAUAUGUCUAAUUUUCUCUGUUAAUCUGUCUUAGGUAAAAGGGACUUCAGCCAUGAACCUAGGAAUGGGGAGAUAAAGAUGUUUUUCCUCCUACAUGGUGAAGAGAAGAGGGUUUGCUAUCACUCUCCUCCCUACCACGUUUCUCUUUUGGAGGCCUGAGUUCAGAACACUUAUAUAGUCAUCACCUUUGAAAUUAGUUUGAAUUUAAUUUCUUACUGAUUUAAAUUUUUUGGAAGUUUCCAUUUAGAUAAAUCUUUUUCACUGGUGGAAUAUCUAGUGAAGGUUGCAGGGGGAUCUAACUGAGAACAUUUUCUUAAUGAUUGUACCACUUCAGAAGAAAGAGAAUAUACUUAAAAUACUAAAAAAUUAAA
rnacentral:lncRNA from 1 species